UCGAGAGGCUUUGUCAAUGGGGGAAACCCUGAACAAGCGACGCCGCGUGGAGGAUGAAGGCCCUUGGGUUGUAAACUCCUUUUGCCGGGGAAGAAGUGCGAUCAGGUGAACAAUCUGGUCGUUUGACGGUACCUGGCGAAUAAGCUCCGGCCAACUCCGUGCCAGCAGCCGCGGUAACACGGGGGGAGCAAGCGUUGUUCGGAAUCACUGGGCGUAAAGGGCGUGUAGGCGGUCAGGUAAGUGGAAUGUGAAAUGCCCCGGCUCACCCGGGGACCGGCAUCCCAAACUGCCUGGCUUGAGUAUGGGAGAGGAUGGAGGAAUUCCUGGUGUAGCGGUGAAAUGCGUAGAUAUCAGGAGGAACACCGGUGGCGAAGGCGUCCAUCUGGCCCAAUACUGACGCUGAGGCGCGAAAGCUAGGGGAGCAAACG
rnacentral:rRNA from 1 species